UUUCCCAUCUCCACACUCCAAUUAUUAUUACUGCCCUUUUUCCCCUUCUAUUUCUCUACUCAAUUUAAAGAGAAAGAGAGAGGGAGAAGGAUUGGAUAUAUUUGGAUUUCUAUGGUUGGAGGGGAAAAGGGGGAAAUCCUUCACAUGCAUGCAACAUUAUCAAAAUUGGGUUAUUAUUUUUGUCCCUAGUCACGUGUAGGAAAUUCACUCCAUUCUCGCUAUUUGAAGGAGAUGAUAGAGGCCGGGGUUUUGUAUCGAAAAAUGGAAAAUCUAAAUGUGGGUGGCGACCCUUUCAAUUAAGAAGAUGUGAAUAGCAACAUGGUAGACUUCUUAAACGAAGACAGAUCAUAGAGGGGAGAAACCGAAAGAGUGAGACGUGAGAGAUUUAGUGUUUACUUCAACGACAAAUGUGAAUGAUAGCUCAACAACAUAAUUCAAUAGAGAUGAACAAUAGGUCUCUAAUGUUGACAAAGGUAGAGGACUAAAUGAACACGAAUGACAAAGAGGGAGAAACCGAGAGAGUGAGUGGAUAUAUUAUUUUUAGUUAAUUUUUUUUAAUGAAUAUUGAAAAAAAGAAGAUAGCUAGGAGUUUUUUUUGGAUUAAAUGUUUGGGCUUGGGCUUGUAGUAAGUGAACUUUAUUCAUUGGGGCCGCAAGGACUCGAUCCUACGAGUCUUUUUUUGCUCCCUACUCCUUACCUCAAACACACUCUAAUUUUUUUUAUAUCUUUGAAGCUUGGGGAUUGUGUUUC